rnacentral:rRNA from 1 species
UACGUAGGGGGCAAGCGUUGUCCGGAAUCAUUGGGCGUAAAGCGCGUGUAGGCGGCCCGAUAAGUCCGCUGUGAAAGUCCAGGGCUCAACCCUGGGAUGCCGGUGGAUACUGUCGGGCUCGAGUACGGAAGAGGCGAGUGGAAUUCCUGGUGUAGCGGUGAAAUGCGCAGAUAUCAGGAGGAACACCAAUUGCGAAGGCAGCUCGCUGGGACGUUACUGACGCUGAGACGCGAAAGCGUGGGGAGCAAACAGG